rnacentral:rRNA from 1 species
ACAUGAGGAAAGCUUGCUUUCCUUGAUGACGACUGGCGCACGGGUGAGUAACGCGUAUCCAACCUUCCCAUAACUACGGGAUAACCCGUUGAAAGACGGCCUAAUACCGUAUGAUAUCGUUUGCUGACAUCAAAUAACGAUUAAAGGUUUAGCGGUUAUGGAUGGGGAUGCGUCUGAUUAGCUUGUUGGCGGGGUAACGGCCCACCAAGGCUACGAUCAGUAGGGGUUCUGAGAGGAAGGUCCCCCACAUUGGAACUGAGACACGGUCCAAACUCCUACGGGAGGCAGCAGUGAGGAAUAUUGGUCAAUGGGCGAGAGCCUGAACCAGCCAAGUAGCGUGCAGGACGACGGCCCUAUGGGUUGUAAACUGCUUUUAUGUGGGGAUAAAGUGCGUGACGUGUCAUGCAUUGCAGGUACCACAUGAAUAAGGACCGGCUAAUUCCGUGCCAGCAGCCGCGGUAAUACGGAAGGUCCGGGCGUUAUCCGGAUUUAUUGGGUUUAAAGGGAGCGUAGGCUGUCUAUUAAGCGUGUUGUGAAAUUUACCGGCUCAACCGGUGGCUUGCAGCGCGAACUGGUCGACUUGAGUAUGCAGGAAGUAGGCGGAAUUCAUGGUGUAGCGGUGAAAUGCUUAGAUAUCAUGACGAACUCCGAUUGCGCAGGCAGCUUACUGUAGCAUAACUGACGCUGAUGCUCGAAAGUGCGGGUAUCAAACAGG